UCCAACUGAUGAGAGGGGAAUAAUAAUGCAUUCAUAUAAAAUAAACAAUCCAAUUUGUUGCUGGCAGGAUAAAAUCGAAGCAACAAGGUCUUCUCCAACUCAGUAAAAACCAUUUGAUAAGUAAUUUAGAUGCCAAGAAAUUUUAAUAACUGAACUGAAUCCCUUUGACUGCAGUACAUACUCGAUAUGGGCCUUUGCAUCUUGUCAGAUUUUGGCUGCUACUUCCAUUUUCUUCCUGGCACUUUUCUCUCCGACCUGUACUUUGACAAAAUCUGACUUCUUCGUGUUGUAUUCUAAUAACAUUGGGAGAUACAUUAAUCAAAUUAAUGUCCACUAUAUUUAUUUUCUUGGCAAAUUAAACUAACCUUCCUCAUUUGGAAACCGCUUCUUCCCCUGGGAAUCAUAAGUGUCAUUCUGAAUUUAAAAUGCAAAAACAGAGAAACUUAAAAUGUGAACUUAAAACACUGCAUUAACUAUCUAAGCAUUUGGGAACUUAAAAUGCAAAAACAGAGAAACAACAAGAUAGUAGAAAAACAGUGCAAGAGUAAUCUCCACAUAGCAUCAAUGCAUUUUUACGAAACACAAAUGCAUCUGGUGAAGACUGUAAUAUGCUCACCAGACCGACAUAUGUAUCUGAAUAUGCUCACAAUUUAAUCUGUAAGAGAAUCGACAUAUGACAUGCGACUUGAUCUUAUUGUUACAAAUUAGUAAGCAUCUGCCAGUGUAGAGUAGCCAUCUACUUGCAAUUUCCAAGACAUUUCUCUACAAAUAUUCAUCUGUCAGUGUAGCUGCAUCACCCCCAAAACAUUCAGGUCUAGGCAUAACCAAAAAAAAUCUUCUGUGCCGUGCAGUUUAAUAAUACUAAAAGCAAACCAGUAAGAGGAGGGAAGGAAGGUCGCAACCUGCACAGAGCAUGUCCUUGAGGCCAAAUUACGAAUGGUCCUCCUUCCCCAGCAAUCAUUUUCAGAACCAUAAACAACAGUCAAAAUCGGUUCACCAUCAGGAAUAAAGAUGAGUCGUUGUCGUGAUCGCCUUGAUGGCAAUUGAAAUAAGACUGCUCCCUUAAAGCCGAUACAGAUGGAUUGGCUCACUCAUUUCACCUGAAUAACAAACACCACAUAUUUAGAUGCAAAAAAAAAAGAUAUAAAACUCGGGUUCAUAGUUCUUCUGCUAGAAGUAAAAGUCAGUUCACCAUUAGGAUUAGACAUGAGUGGACGUUAUGAUGGCCUUGAUGGCAAAUGAAACAUACACAGCAAAUCAUCCUCCAUUGAAGCCAAUACAAAAACGACAGUCUCACGCAUUUUACCUGAACAAUGAACACAACAAAUUUAUGCACGAAGAAAUAGUUUUUUGCUACAAAUAGAUGAAUCAAAGUAAAUAAGAAUAUUUUGUCCUGUAAGGAAAAAAAACUCUAGACAAACACAACCGAAAUGUACGCACGGAAGCAUAAGAUUUCCUCGGCACAACGCACCCAAAAAAAGUUGGUGGAUGAGAAGCUACUUCCUAUAUGAACACAAAAGAAACCAAUCAUCAUGCAUUCUGAAUCUAAUUCCAAUGCAUACAAAAUGCACACUUGAUCAUUAAUCAAGUUCUUUAGGUAAAUCAGUUACUUUGAAUGAGCGUACACAUUUGAGUUAGCUUAGCUGCUCAAGGCCUGAACCAAACAGUGAUUACCACUAUUAAUCCAUACAUACUCCCUCCGUAAACUAAUAUAAGAGCGUUUAGAAUACUAAAAUAGUGAUCUAAACGCUCUUAUAUUAGUUUACAGAGGGAGUACAACAAUAAGCAUAGCUCGAGUGCUUAGCUGCGUACCACCCAUGUACAUGGUUAGAAAACUGCAAUGCUUACAAUUUUAAGGACUCCUCACCCAUAUAUAAGGAAAUGAACCUUCAGAAUGCGAUAUUACUUGUUUCUUUUCUCAGCAAAACAACUCAUGGCUUUUCUCUUGUCCUUAAAAAAUUCCCUUCCCCAGCUUCUUUUGCUGGCUUUAUAAUAGAAUAAACCACCAGAGAAUCUUAGGGAACUGUGUGUACAAUAUAACAAAUUAUAACAAAGACGGCAUUGCCUAGCAUGAUUCAGAAUCCAAACAAAAUAAUUUUGAAAUUCACCAUCCAAUGUAAAAUUUCUUAUGGUUACCACAAUGAAAACGUGUGCUUGGAGCUUGAAUUGUAUGUAUGUUGGUAUGGUACAUAACAAAUUGGUAUGGUAUGUUCAUAACAUAACACAAGAACUUGAAUUCUUAUCAAUACUGGAACGCAGCCAUGUUUACAAAUGUCGAAAUCUGAUAGGAGUAACAGGAGUACAAUAAAUGAGCGAGGAGCACACUUCUAUUAAUGUCCCAAAAAAGUGUAUAUUCUCCACAAAGCUGUGAUUUAAAAAUCUACAGCGACUGGUCCAAUUUUUUGGGUUCAAAAGUAUCAAAGAAAACAGAAGAGCGUAAGCUCUGCUACUAAGAAAGAAGUCAUGAUAUCUUCUAGCCUCUUGGGACAGUUACAGUCAUCGACUUGUAGCUUGGAAAGUUGGAACCUACAUGUUAGUCGAACCUAGAUCAAUGCAAACUCAUCAAGCACAGACCUUAUAUUCUAGUACCAGAACUGUAGAGUCUGUUAUCAACAUGUUAAACACAAGUCGCAUAUUCGGUUAAUGUUGAUAGCUAACAGAGAGGCGGCAACAGGCACAUUUAGAUACUAUGCAAAAAAAAAAAAAACAGAGCAAUCAAAGAUAGAAAAAGAAGACCUGUUUAAAAUUGCAUACAGAGCUGAAAAAAACCAAGUGAAUGGGGAUUGCAGCAAAGACCAAACUACAAAGGUUAUGGCCAAAGGAGGACACUUGCAGUGGAGAAGCAGCAGCUAUUGUUGACAGUGUCAUACAACACUUCCUAUGGUCUGAGAAUCUUCACCCGGCUUAAGAAAGCUUAACAAUAUUAAAAAGUAGAAGAGCUAAGCUGUUUUAAGCCUCAGAAAGCCGCAAAAAUAUCGUCAUUUGAAAUCUGAUGGUAAUUCCAACAUAAAGCUAAUCAUCAUAGGGUCCUAUAGUGUUCUAGAGAGAAAAAAGGGCCCUAAACAUCAUACCUUUGGGCCAAAAAAAUCAAAGAAACAGGGUGUAUCAGAGUAUAAAUGCCUUCUCAUUCACAGGAAAAUAAGCACUGUGUCAGAAGGUGUCCUAAGAUUGUUUCAAGGUUUCAUCCUCUGAUACUGACCAGAUCAACAAAAAACUGGACCAAAUGAAGAAACAUUAACUGAUUAAAAUCCUAUUCCAAAAAUUCCUAGCUAAUUAUCAGAUCAUGAAACAGAUUGUAACAUCCUGGGUGCCAACAAUCACCGAGGAAAAAAUACCUGAACUGACCAUACAUAGUCUGUGAAGCAAGAGUGAGCACGUGAUUGAUGGAGCUCCUUGGCAGCGGUGGUGGCUGCUGCUCCUGUACACACUGACAGCUCGAACACCCAGGCGUAGCCGAGAGAGCGCCGAUGCUCUAGCACAAGCACACGUUAAAAGGAUAAACUCAAAUCCCUAAUAAGAACUUUCUUUUAGCACAAACUGAGAGGGGACUGAAUUGGAACAAUCUGAAAGAGGCUUCAAGAGGUAAAUCACCCUGGACCGGUGCCUAGAUCGCCGCUGCCGAGGACAAGCGCAGUUGCCUUUCACAGGGAGGAGGCCCUAGCCUCUCACGACGCCGCCGCCAACUCCCCUGGGGGCCGGGGCCGAACCUGGGCGUCGGCCCGGCUCGGCCCGGCUAUUCGCUCCGCCCCUGCCGCUGAACUCCGGUGCGGGGCUGGGGGCUCUACAGGCCCUAGCCUCUCACGACGCCAUCACCAACUCCCCUUGGGGCCGGGGCCGAACCCUGGCGUCGGCCCGGCUAUUUGCUCCGCCCUGCCCCUGAACUCCGGCGCGGGGCUGGGGGCUCUGCCGCUGAACUCCGGUCACAUGGUCUGGAUCCGGAGGCAGGGAAGGAGGAGAGGAAGGGGAGGAGGAGGUGCUGGGCAGAGGAGAGGGGUGGCGGCGGUGGCAGGGAGGGCUCGGAAAGACGCGGGUUAGGUCUGCUUUUGUGUCGCUGCUAGCUCGGUCCACUUCGUUUUUUCUCUCUCGCUAUUCGCGCUGGCUCACUGCUUUUAGCUCUGCACUAUUGAUAGCCGAUGUGGAGCCAUCCGUUGCGCCUAGCACCCCUUUCAUCCUUUAUAAGUUCAAGCUCCGCCCUGCCCGCUGAACUCCGGCGCGG
rnacentral:lncRNA from 1 species